AACGAGCGCUGGCGGCAGGCUUAACACAUGCAAGUCGAACGCCCCGCAAGGGGAGUGGCAGACGGGUGAGUAACGCGUGGGAAUCGACCCAGAACUUCGGAACAACUGAGGGAAACUUCAGCUAAUACCGGAUACGCCCUACGGGGGAAAGAUUUAUCGGUUUUGGAUGAGCCCGCGUUGGAUUAGCUAGUUGGUGAGGUAAUGGCUCACCAAGGCGACGAUCCAUAGCCGGUCUGAGAGGAUGAUCAGCCACACUGGGACUGAGACACGGCCCAGACUCCUACGGGAGGCAGCAGUGGGGAAUAUUGGACAAUGGGCGAAAGCCUGAUCCAGCCAUGCCGCGCGAGUGAUGAAGGCCUUAGGGUUGUAAAGCUCUUUCAGUGGGGAAGAUAAUGACGGUACCCACAGAAGAAGCCCCGGCUAACUUCGUGCCAGCAGCCGCCGUAA
rnacentral:rRNA from 1 species